GUUUGAUUCGGCCAACACUGGGACUGAGAACACGGGCCAAGACUCCUUACCGGGAGGCAGCAGUAGGGAAUCUUCCGCAAUGGACGAAAGUCUGACGGAGCAACGCCGCGUGAGUGAUGAAGGUUUUCGGAUCGUAAAGCUCUGUUGUUAGGGAAGAACAAGUGCAAGAGUAACUGCUUGCACCUUGACGGUACCUAACCAGAAAGCCACGGCUAACUACGUGCCAGCAGCCGCGGUAAUACGUAGGUGGCAAGCGUUGUCCGGGAAUUAUUGGGCGUAAAGGGCUCGCAGGCGGUUUCUUAAGUCUGAUGUGAAAGCCCCCGGCUCAACCGGGGAGGGUCAUUGGAAACUGGGAAACUUGAGUGCAGAAGAGGAGAGUGGAAUUCCACGUGUAGCGGUGAAAUGCGUAGAGAUGUGGAGGAACACCAGUGGCGAAGGCGACUCUCUGGUCUGUAACUGACGCUGAGGAGCGAAAGCGUGGGGAGCGAACAGGAUUAGAUACCCUGGUAGUCCACGCCGUAAACGAUGAGUGCUAAGUGUUAGGGGGUUUCCGCCCCUUAGUGCUGCAGCUAACGCAUUAAGCACUCCGCCUGGGGAGUACGGUCGCAAGACUGAAACUCAAAGGAAUUGACGGGGGCCCGCACAAGCGGUGGAGCAUGUGGUUUAAUUCGAAGCAACGCGAAGAACCUUACCAGGUCUUGACAUCCUCUGACAACCCUAGAGAUAGGGCUUUCCCUUCGGGGACAGAGUGACAGGUGGUGCAUGGUUGUCGUCAGCUCGUGUCGUGAGAUGUUGGGUUAAGUCCCGCAACGAGCGCAACCCUUGAUCUUAGUUGCCAGCAUUCAGUUGGGCACUCUAAGGUGACUGCCGGUGACAAACCGGAGGAAGGUGGGGAUGACGUCAAAUCAUCAUGCCCCUUAUGACCUGGGCUACACACGUGCUACAAUGGACAGAACAAAGGGCUGCGAGACCGCAAGGUUUAGCCAAUCCCACAAAUCUGUUCUCAGUUCGGAUCGCAGUCUGCAACUCGACUGCGUGAAGCUGGAAUCGCUAGUAGUCGCGGAUACAGCCUAUACGAUCACC
rnacentral:rRNA from 1 species